rnacentral:rRNA from 1 species
UGGGGAAUAUUGUACAAUGGGGGAAACCCUGAUGCAGCGACGCCGCGUGAGCGAAGAAGGUUUUCGAAUCGUAAAGCUCUGUCCUAUGAGAAGAUAAUGACGGUAUCAUAGGAGGAAGCCCCGGCUAAAUACGUGCCAGCAGCCGCGGUAAUACGUAUGGGGCGAGCGUUGUCCGGAAUUAUUGGGUGUAAAGGGUACGUAGGUGGCUUUUUAAGUCAGGUGUCAAAGCGUGGAGCUUAACUCCAUUAAGCACUUGAAACUGAAAGACUUGAGUGAAGGAGAGGAGAGUAGAAUUCCUAGUGUGGCGGUGAAAUGCGUAGAUAUUAGGAGGAAUACCGGUGGCGAAGGCGACUUUCUGGACUUUUACUGACGCUCAGGUACGAAAGCGUGGGGAGCAAACAGG